AUUGAACGCUGGCGGCAGGCUUAACACAUGCAAGUCGAACGAGUGGCGGACGGGUGAGUAAUGCUUGGGAAUCUAGCUUAUGGAGGGGGAUAAUUACGGGAAACUUUAGCUAAUACCGCUUAUCAUCGUAUGAGCCCAAGUGGGAUUUGGUAGUUGGUGAGGUAAAGGCUCACCAAGCCUACGAUCUCUAGCUGGUCUGAGAGGAUGACCAGCAACACUGGGACUGAGACACGGCCCAGACUCCUACGGGAGGCAGCAGUGGGGAAUAUGGCGCAAUGGGGGCAACCUGACGCAGCAAUGCCGCGUGUGUGAAGAAGGCCUUCGGGUUGUAAAGCACUUGCAGCGAGGAGGCGUUACUCGCAGAAGAAGCACCGGCUAACUCCGUGCCAGCCGCCGCGGUAAUAC
rnacentral:rRNA from 1 species